UUUUCCCCUCUGACGGGAAGAAAAAAAUGGAGGCUAAUAAAAGCCCCAGCCCUCCAAAAGGAUGGUUAGCAUUUAAGUUAAUAUUAUGAAAGGGAUUUAGACUUUCUUUUAAGCAUGUUUUGAGGCACCUGAACAUCGCUGUUUUCCAUGAUGUUCUCUAUUUUUAAAACUUUCGGGUUCCUCAUUUGUUGCAGGUGUCUCUCAAGGCUGAGGCUUUAGGAUUAGGCUUUUUUUUCCUCAGGGGGAGGGGUAUUUUUGAGAACAAGACCAGAGAGGCCUCGAACUUAAAAACUUUAAGUCACCACACGCGGCUUUCUUCCAGUGCUUUAAUAUAAGAGAUCUCGUUCCCUUUGUUUAGGUUGUCUGGUCUUACUGUAUUACGUGGAUCUGAGGGUCCUCUAGCUUCUCCUUUGGGGUCUGACAGACUUCAUCUAGAUCUAGGAUAACGCCUUUCCCAUAUUCAACAUAUCUAGUUUAUCAGUUAAUUCUAUUAGGGAAGGUAGGUAAUGAUUCUCUUUGGGGCAUAACUGUGACGAGAAAAACGUGCAGAUACCAUUCGACAUGUACAUCUAACAUAUUUUAAAUAUAUAUACAUACAUACACGCAUACGUAUCUAAAAAACUGAGGGGAGAAUCAGAAAGACCGGCAUGUUGCGUGGCCUUUAAUAUCCAAAAUGAGGCUCCACAGCACCAAGUGGUGGCGCUCCAGUACUGUUGAGAAAGCCUGACACGAGGGGAGGGGCUCCACGGGCGGAGGGGACCGAGGUACCUUGGGUAGGGUAGAGGAGCGAGAUCAAACCACGCAUGCUCAUUGAAGUAAAGGCGCCAGCAGCGCGGGAGUCAAGGUGCGCAUGCGUAGGUGAGAACUUAGUGUCCAUUGGCGUUUAAGGGCAGGAAGGAGAAGUACGCCUGCGUAUUGCCAAUAGCCUGGCUGGGCGGGAGGGAGGCGCACAGUGUUCUGGUAAUUAAGGUUACGAAAUGACGAGGGAUUCGAAACUGGUUCUGCCAGCAAAUGCUGCUUUUCCUUAAAGGUCCCGGUGAGGAGGAGCUCGGCCAUCUUGUCUGCUCUUCAGUUGGACCGCUGUUGUGGCCUUUGGCACCGCUGGCCUCCCGGUAGUGGAAGGCCCGCGCUACACGUCCGGGCGGGCUCCUCCACUGCCGCCGCGCCGCUUGGGAAAUGUAGUCUUUGGACAUUGGCGGGCUUCGGCGAGCCCCUUCUCCCGCGCGCGCCACACGGAACCUGGGUGGGGAGACGGAAGUGACGUGCCGCGGGGACGUGGGGGAGGUGGCGUGGAACUGGCGCUAGGCUGUCCUGGCUGCGCCUGAUGUGGGAUUUCCAAAUAACUGUUAGUGGUAAUCUCUGGUCGAGGAGUCUCUUAUUAUUACCCAGUUUUGAAAAACGGGGUGAAAGUAUGUUCCUUGUUUCAUUUUUAUGUGCAGGUGAAUUAGAUGUUCCCAGACCUUGUGGAAUGGAUGCAGAUUAUUCACCAAUCCUUAAACUCGGUGUUACUUCUGGUUUGUAGUUUGCUUAAUUAGGUUUGUUAGAUGAAGCGUCCUUUCCUAUACCCCAUGUUUCAUAUAUUUUGCAUCUAAUUUUCUUUUUUCGGACAGUUUAAUGUAGUUCAGGAUGACUUUAGCUAUGUAGCUGAGGAUAGCCUUGAGCUUUUGAUCCUUCUGCCUUCACUUCCCCAGUGAUGGGUUUGCAGGUGGCACUACUAGGUCCAGCUUUUAUUGUUACAUUCUCAAUAUGUGACUCUGGCAGGUUUGGUGGUCCCUAUGCAGCCCACGCUGGUCCCCGACUUGUGUGGAUCUUCCUGCCUGAGCUUCAGGUUUGUCCCAUCUGACUCUUCUUUUUCAGAGAAGGGUGGGUAUUACGAGAUUUAGAAGUACCAGCUGAGUUUAGUUGUUUUCAGGUACUUAUACUGGCUUAAUGUAGUUAAUUGCAAGCCUAUUUUUCAGCAUUUUUCUAGGUAUACAUAUUAUUAAACGGGGCUUGUGUGGUGGAGAGAUUGGGAGGUAUAUAAACAAAAAAACAAGGUGGGGGGAGGCUCAUUUUAGAGAAGGUGGUUGAAAACAUCCUUUUUGGAACUCUGCUUACCUUAAGCAUAGAAGCCCUUGCCAGUAUCUAGUUCUUCAAUCCAGCUAUGAAUAAGGGAUUAAGGAGAAUGUGGAUUUAUUUGAAAUACCCACAUCCCAAAGCAUUUAACCUUGGAUUUCUACAAUUUGGUCUCUCCCUCUCGAUGUUGCAGCCCCCAGCAGCCUGGAGCAGCACACCCUGGAAAGAAACUUUGCAUUGACCAUUAUAAUACAACCUGAUAAACUCAUCACGAUGCUGAAAAAUAGGUUUUUUUGAUUCUGACCUGUGUCUUCAAUCUGAGAUGACUAUCAGCACAGCCUUGGCAAAUCCACCAAGGAAGGAUUACAGUUGCAGGGAAAGGAACUAUGUUGCUUUUGAAAGAAAGAAGACUGGCCUCAACUCAUUGUUCCCUGAAAAUAGGAAGGAUAUUAUGCAUGCUUGGUAAGCAGACUAACACUGAUCUCCAACCCCUAGCAUUUAGGGUUGUUUUCUUUUGCGAUACACCUGGCCUCCAACUAAGUAUCCUCCUGUCUCAGCAUCCAGAGUGCUGGGAUUACAGACCCAUGCCACCAUGCCUAUCCCAAGGUAACUUACUUUGAAAUUUGUGAGUCCAUAUUUAGUAAUAAUCACAGGUCUUGAAAUAGAUUUUUAAAAAUAUUUUAUUAUUUUUA